AGCCAUUCGGUAAAUAUUUAAAGAAGAGGGAAUUUAGACAACUUCUUCUGAGUCUUUUGCAUUCCUAGCACUGGAACACUUGGUCUACGCUGACCUACCCUUAUACUCCAACUCAGAGCUUCAACAUGCGUACUUUGACACAAAGUAUGUGAUACUAAGUGUUACAACCAACAUGGUUCACAUAUCAAAAGCAUGGAUCCCUUCAUGCAUAGCAAAACAUUAAUAAGCAUCACUCAUAUCAAUCAACAUAAACAUCAUACAUU
rnacentral:lncRNA from 1 species